rnacentral:rRNA from 1 species
AACGAACGCUGGCGGCAUGCCUAACACAUGCAAGUCGAACGGUAACAGCGGAGCUUGCUCCGGCUGACGAGUGGCGCACGGGUGAGUAACGCGUGGGAACCUGCCCUGGAGUGGGGAACAACCGCUGGAAACGGCGGCUAAUACCGCAUACGCCCCUUGGGGGAAAGCGUUUAUGCGCUCUGGGAUGGGCCCGCGUCGGAUUAGCUUGUUGGUGAGGUAACGGCUCACCAAGGCUACGAUCCGUAGCUGGUCUGAGAGGAUGAUCAGCCACACUGGGACUGAGACACGGCCCAGACUCCUACGGGAGGCAGCAGUGGGGAAUAUUGGACAAUGGGGGCAACCCUGAUCCAGCAAUGCCGCGUGUGUGAAGAAGGCCCUCGGGUUGUAAAGCACUUUCACUCGUGAAGAUGAUGACGGUAGCGAGAGAAGAAGCCCCGGCUAACUCCGUG